rnacentral:lncRNA from 1 species
UACAUCACAAACGAAGUAUCAGUUACAGGUUACUUUAACAUUUAACAGCUCCCAUAUCGUGGGCAGAUCAUACUGCCUUGAAUUGGAAAAAUCAGACAGGUAAAGAAUAUACAGAACAGCAAAGAAGAAAUUGAAGCUGUGAAGUUUAAUCCUGAGCAGAAACCUCAGCUUUUACAAGGCAAACAGGUUUAGCAGGCUGUGCCUCUGGAGAUACAUCCACAAGCUGUUCCAGCCUGCCUCUCCCAGAACAGGUUGUUCUAAGGCACAGAUAAUCCAAUCAAAACAGGUGAUGC